rnacentral:rRNA from 1 species
CCCAAGUGAUAAUGCAAAGCAUUAUCUUUUGCUUAGAGCAAAUAUCUAAGCGAAUAAGUGGUGGGCAAUACCUGUGCCAGCCGCCGCGGUAACCCAGGAGCCACAAGUGGCAACCACCUUUAUUUGGCCUAAAGCGUCCGUAGCCGGUUUUGUAAAUUUUCUGUGAAAUAGUUGUGCUUAACGUAACUGCGUGCAGAAAACACUGCAAGACUUGGAACCGGGAGGAGUCAGAGGUAUUUUGGGGGGAGCGGUAAAAUGCUAUAAUCCCCGAAGGACCACCUGUGGCGAAAGCGUCUGACUAGAACGGAUUCGACGGUGAGGGACGAAAGCUAGGGGAGCAAUCCGGAUUAGAUACCCGAGUAGUCCUAGCUGUAAACUCUGCGGGCUAGGUGUUACGUAUUCUUAGGGAAUAUGUGGUGUCGUAGUGAAGAUGAUAAGCCCGCCGCCUGGGGAGUACGGUCGCAAGGCUGAAACUUAAAGGAAUUGGCGGGGGAGCACUACAAGGGGUGCGGCGUGCGGUUUAAUCCAAUUCAACACGGAGAAUCUCACCAGGAGCGACGGCAGGAUGAAGGUCAGGUUAAAGGUCUUACCUAACGAGCCGAGAGGUAGUGCAUGGCCGUCGUCAGCUCGUGCCGUAAGGUGUCCUGUUAAGUCAGGCAACGAGCGAGACCUGCGCGCACAAUUGCUAACGAGACCAGCAAUGGAUGAUCGAGCACAUUGUGCGGACUGCCCUUGAAAAAGGGAGGAAGGUGCAGGCAACGGUAGGUCUGUAUGCUCCGAAUCUUCUGGGCUACACGCGCGCAACAAUGGUAGGUACAAUGGGAUGCAACACCGAAAGGUGGAGCUAAUCCUCGAAAACCUAUCCUAGUUCAGAUCGUGGGUUGUAACUCACCCACGUGACGUUGGAAUCCCUAGUAAUCAGGUUUUAUCAGAACCCGGUGAAUAUGUCCCUG